GUGCUUAUGUCAGCACUUCUCCUCCAGCUCUCUCUCUCUCUCUCUCUCUCUCUCUCUCUCUCUCUCUCUCUCUCUGAGCGGAUGCGGAAGUGAGUGGGCGUGGCGAGUGUGGCUUGAGUGUGUUUUCUCUCUACCUUUUCUAUCUUUUCUGUAUUUGUGGUUUCUUUUUUAUGAUUUAGUUUUUCUCUUUGUUCGAGUUAUUUUUUGUUAAAGUAGUCUAAAGUAGUCUCCCUUUUGGGAGUGAGCACCCAGCUGCUGGGUGUAUUUUGGUUUGUUUGGCCUAAUGGCGUUUGAAAGUCUGAGUCGGCGUCACGCGAUCAAGAUAGGUGCAGAUAAUGAUAUAUCAGUUGAGGAGUGUAGUUUAGCCUUAGGUAGUAUUGUUGGUUAUGGAAGUGUGGUUUCAGCAUCUAGAAUGAAUCAAUCUGUUGUUCUGUUCUUGGACAGCGUUGAUAAGGUGAAUACGAUUGUAGAGCAGGGCAUUGUGAUUAACGACACAUUUGUCAAUGUUCUUCCACUUGUGACCCCGGCUAGACGAGUAACACUGUCAAAUGUACCUCCUUUCAUAACAGACGAGUUUUUGGAACGAGAAUUAGUAAGACAUGGAAAACUUGUGUCCUCAAUUAAGAAAAUUCCUCUUGGAUGUAAAUCCCCGCUUCUAAAGCAUGUCGUGUCAUUCAGGAGGCACGUUUACAUGAUUUUGAAUGGUCACUCUGGUGAACUGAAUGUUAAGUUCAAAUUCCAAGUAGAUAAUUUUCAAUAUAUGAUUUUUGCUUCUACUGAUAACAUGAAGUGUUUCUUCUGCGGGAGAGAAGGCCACGGUAUAAGAUCAUGUCCUGAGAAAAAUACACCUGCUAAAGAUGUGCAGGUUGAUAAAGAAGGCGAAAGUGCUAACGGCGGUCAAAGUGGAACAACUGGAGAUGCGCCGGUUGAUAGAGAAGGAGACUGUUUUGAUGGUGAACAAGGUAGAUUAAUGGGAGAUGCACCGACUAAUAGAGACAACGGCAAUUAUGAUCAUAGUGGGAGUGCAGGGGAGCAUAAUGGAGAGACUAGGCCGUCUUCUGGUCCAGAGGUUGCAGUAACCGACAACAUACCGGUAGGUGCAGAAAGUAAAUCUAACUUUGAUGCUACGGUAGAAAAUGGUGAAAGUAUGCCUACUGUGGAAAAUAGUGAAAGUUUGCAAGUGUUUCAAAUGAUCCAAUGAAUCUGAUGAUGGACAAAAUAACUAAUGAUUUAAUGAAUGGGAAAGGUGAGAAUGCCGUUACAAAACCCACAGAACAACUUUUUUGUGCUGACGAUGCAAUGGAAGAUGAGCAA
rnacentral:lncRNA from 1 species